CAAGGCCAUCGCCCCUCCUCGUUCUCCUCAUCUUCAACAGUAGAACGGUGGGCAGGUGGAAAGGAAUGGUCUCGGCACAGCCAGAUUCACCUCCAGGAAUUAUUAUAUUUGGAAAAGGACAUGGAUGCUCUAGAAGAUAUGCACCCUCAAGGAGAACAUGUCCGGUUGCUCUAUCUCCAGCUCCGGCCAGGUACUUCUCUUCCCUUAUGUUAUUCUGGCCGUCAACGGGUUGUUAGGCUGCUGUGUUCUUGUACUCAUAAUACUCCAUAGUCUCAAUUAAUGUGAACAAUUGAUUUUGAGAGAUUCCUUUUAACAUCUUUAAACCAUCUGAUGUUUUCUCAUCCUUUUGUUCGUACUAUUGAAAUAGUAAUUGUACCUACUCUAUGUUUAUUCAAGAACUGUGGCAUUAUUGUAUGAUUUUGGCUAAAGAUCUGGUUGAGUAGGUUUAAAUGGCCAAUUUCAAUCCUUGGAGCUUGCUAUUUUG